rnacentral:rRNA from 1 species
UACGUAGGGGGCUAGCGUUGUCCGGAAUCAUUGGGCGUAAAGCGCGCGUAGGCGGUCAGGUAAGUCCGGUGUGAAAGUCAAAGGCUCAACCUUUGAAUGCCGCUGGAUACUGCCUGACUUGAGUCCGGAAGGGGCGAGUGGAAUUCCUGGUGUAGCGGUGAAAUGCGCAGAUAUCAGGAGGAACACCGGUGGCGAAGGCGGGACUCUGGGCCGAUACUGACGCUGAGGAGCGAAAGCAUGGGGAGCGAACAGG